UUUAGAUUUACUGUGAGCAACAUGGCUGUAAGCACAGAAGAAAAGCAAAUGGUAAGGAUCCUUUACAUCCUACAUGUAAGGUAAACUACAUUUCAAGCACAAUUUGGGGCCUGCUUUUUUUCUGCAUGGGCAUUAGUAUAGACUGAUCCUUUUGCAGAUGUUGAGGAGCAUGAUGGAGGCUCAAGACCAGUUGGAAAGAAACUACAUCAGUAAGAAGGAGGAGCACAGAGCUCUGGAGAUGCAAAACUACAUGGGCUUAUCCAGGAACACUGGCACUUUUGAUGCUAACAGACUAGUGGAAGGAGACAUCUUUAGGAUAGGCAUGCAUCUUGAGGACAUUAAGGAGAUCAUAGACAAAAACGUGUGUGAUCAGAUUUCUCCUCCUCACUCAACAUCCACUCCCACGUCCACGACUGUACCCACUCCUGUCUGCAUGUUCACACCUUCACCUCCACCUUCCCUGCAUGAGGGGCAAAGUUAUAAGAUGGACACAGAGGAAGAAGAAGAGGAAGAAGAAGCAGAGGAGGGCAGUGACCUUCAGAUAAAUGGUGGAUCAGACCAAAGUAGUGAGCUCGUAACUGCUGACCCUCUAGUGAAAAACUCUGGACAUGGCAGCUGCCAGUCACGGGACUCAACGGGCUCCUUGGUUGGACUUGAUGUCUGUAAAGAUGAGGAUGAGGAGAGGAGCUCUGGUUUGUCAGAGGUGGCAGAUCACAGUGACAUCUUAGCUUACCUGUGUGGAAACAAGACCACCUCACACGAGCAGUGGACAGUCAGCAGCCACAGCAUCAAGGAUAGAGUCUCCAGACAAAAGGAUGAAUGUGAUCUGGGUGACUGUGUUAGUCUGGCAGUGGAGGUCUCCUGUUCCUCUGAUGCACCAAGAGGCUCAGAGAGCCACAGCUUCUCAGAGCCGGAUCUCAACACCUCAUGUGCCUCGCAGAAGAUGGUGAGUUCAGAGACAGACAGCGGAUUUGGGAGCUCUUACUUGAAUCAUUCGGGCUCGGGAUCAUUUCAAUCAAAUCUGCUUCCAGAAAGUGUGUUGUCCCAGAAAGAAGGUUUAAGUAGCUCAGACAGUGAAGACUCGUGCUCCCACCUGCAAACAGCCAUCCACCCUGCCAUCACUGGCUACCAGUGGGCCAGCCCCCACCCAUCUGUCCUAACACAACACUGUGGAGCAACAGCUGGAGUGGAUCUGUGGGUGGACAGUACAACUAAGAACCCUUCAGCAAUGCUGCAAGGAUCUGACCAAAGCCUGUCUGCUCAGCACCAUCAGCUCGUAUCUCAACCUCUACUUGGCACCUCCAUGGAUACUGAUGGCAGAGGCAGCCCUCUGCGCUCCUGCUCUUGUAAUAGUGAGGCUAUCCUGGCCUUGCAAUCGGAGGUGUCUAGGCUAAAGAAGGACCUGGAGGUGGGCUUAGUGCAAUUACCUCACUUAGCUCAGAAGAUGGACUAUCUCACCUCAAAAUACAGACAAGAGCGCCAGGAGCGCCGGUCCAGAACCAGGACUUACCAAAGUCCAGCCUGUAACAGAGUGGGGAAUAUCAGCAGCAGAGAUGUGAGUAACUUCAGUUUCAGUCAGGCAAGGCUGGAGGACUGGAUCUCAUCAGACAUGGACCCCAGCCAGAGCAAAGGCACAGACAGCAGUGAAACAAGCUCUGAGAUAAUGUUAAAGUUACACAGUUCACCAGCAGGGAGCAGAAAAGGUGGCAGAGGCGUAUCCUCGGGACCUGAGUUUCAGUUUAAACACCAGGCGGUCCAGCCCAAAGGAGUUUCUCCUGCUGCGUGGACAGAGGGAGGCCGCUCACUGGAAACUUCUGGGUUGAGAAGCUGCAGUUUAAAAGGAAAGAACGACAUGAUGUCUGACUUCAGACCACAGAUUGUCACAAAUAGUUUACACUCCAAGGACAGAUGGUCUCUUCUCUCCAGCUCGUUUCUCCAGAAGCCGCUGUUGCAGGUCAGCUACGGCUCCUCCUGCAGUCUGCCGGCCAGCUAUAAAUUCAGGGAGCCACCGCUGCAGUCCAUGUCCCAUCACAGAAAACCUUCCACUCAGUCAGACACAGCACUCCUGCCCAGCAAUGUGUACUUUCAGCGGACACCGUCUCCAUCAUCCGUGCCCUUCAAGACUGGCAGCAGGACAAGCAGACGUAGCAGGAGCAAGGAAGAAGACGUGAACAGGACUCUGGACCAGGCGAUUGAGAUGGCUCGCAGCAUGAAGAGGACCACUGACCGCAUGGCCAGGAGGCUGUCUGUAGAUCUGGCUAAGGCUCAGCUACACAGGAAACUGCACCACAUGCAGUCACAAGGUGGAAGGAAACAUCUGGAACCUGGCUAUGGAUGAGUUUAUACUCUCAUCUCUUUGCCUGAUACCUUUCUGAAAUAUAUUUUAAAUAAAGUAUAUCUGAUUCACAGAUGUGAUCUGUGAUACGUUUGUUUUUGUUUUCUUUUGGUUUAAACAGUAUCGUCUAUAGUAGUAACAUGUAUAGUACGUUUAUAAAGUUACUGAUAUUUUUAUGAAUGGGCAACAUUUUUUAAAUAUGAAAUGUCUUCAUGUUUUGAUUUGAUCUCAAGGCCUCUGAAGAACAUUUUUAUCCAUCCAUCUUAACUGUAUUCUUACCAAAAUGUAUUCAAAAGAAAUGCUGUGAGGCACAAUGUGAUCUCAUAGUGACGACAACAGUAGACAUAGAGUACAUUGCGACAAGUUGAAGCAAUAAAUGUAAACUUAUUUUCACAAUGCUCCAUGUCACUGAACACCCUGGUAAUCUUUUUUUAAUGUCAGGUGAAAUAUAAGAAGUGAAGCUACAGUGAAUGUAUGAUUUACAGAUGGAAAAUAUAGGAAGUAAACACAUAAAAAAUAUAAAGUGACAUAAAAUUCAGCUUGAUCCUUUUUAAUUGGGUGCCGCAAGUGAAAAUACAUCCUUAACCAUCCUUAGACAUCAGAUGACUCUCUCUGAUAUUUCACCUCUUUACUUUGCCUGCUUCAGUUGUGUGUUUGUGAUCAUUUUCCUGCAGAAUCAUGCAGUGAGUUUCAUGCGUUUGGCAUUUGUAGUUUUUUCCUGUUUGUACCUACUUUGUUUUUUUUCUUUUAACUGUGAUGUCAGUGCACAGAUUUGGA
ensembl:lncRNA